GCCGGAGGCGUCGGCAGCCCGCGUCCGAGGCUCGCGGGCUGCGGGCCCGGGUGAGUGCAGACCCUGCGCGCGGCGGGGCUCCCGGAAGCGUCUGCGCAUCCCGCCGCAGCCGAGAUGCCUGGGCAUCGGGGCGCUCCACACCUCCCUCCGUGGGUGUGUGAAAUGCACUUAGUGAUGGAAAGAGGGCCAUUGUUUUGAAGAACACCUGGCCGAAGGUCGGACAUCAAAUAGGAAUCCAAUUAAAGCUUUUUAUGAAAGCAGGGCUUACAUACCUAGAAACUCAUCAGCACCUGCUUUUAGAACAUCACUUAACUUUGUGGAAACAGAAAGAGGUUUCAGGAAAACUAAGUACAGAAUGGCAAAUGGCGGUGGCCAUCAGAAUCAAAAG
rnacentral:lncRNA from 1 species